GUCCCUGUGGCUCAGUUGGUAGAGCAUGGUGUUUGUAACGCCAGGGUUGUGGGUUCGAUUCCCACGGGGGGCC
rnacentral:tRNA from 1 species